rnacentral:tRNA from 1 species
UUCUUGAUGGCUUAAUUGGUAAAAGCGUUUGGUUGUUAACCUUAAGAUUACAGGUUCAAGUCCUGUUCAAGAAG